GGGGGGGACAGCUCCCUAGGGAAUAAUACUGUGAAGGAUCAAGGGAUCAGAAAAAGACAAGCUGGUGUGACACCUGCCAAGGGUGGAAGGCAGAGAGCAGAAAUGGGUGUGGCAGCUCCCUGUUGCCAGGAGGGUUCUGUGAAGUGACUCAUGGUCAGCCCAGAAGGCAGUUGUAGAGCACAGAUUCCCUGUCUGAACAGUCCUGAAGGCUCAGAAAUGUCACUUGGGCUCAGUCACUGCAGGCUUGGGACGUUGCUGCAAGGAACCACAGAGUGCUCAGUCUGUCUCACGACUGUGUUCCUUGUGACAGAACAGCAAGCUCUUUCCUGAAGGGAGAGCUGAACAGCGCAGUCCACAAAGGUGGCAUGGGCUUGGACUCCUGCCACCAGCUUAAGUUAUGGGAAAAGGAGCAUGAGACUAAGGCCUUCCGGAAGCUUCCAGAUUUAAACCAACCCCACAGACAUGAGACAAAUCUGCCUAUAGAGAAUUGUAUUAUAGCCAAAUGCCUGUGUAUAUAUUUAUCUGUGCCUGAGAUUCUCAUCUCUUUUUAAAGAAAAAGCCACACACUUGGAGGAAAAAAUAAAGUGAAAAAAUGUA